GUGUCUCUUUCUCUCUAAGAUAAACGACACAACCUAAUUU
rnacentral:sRNA from 1 species